AUAUUUUGGCUUAGAUCAAGUGUAGUAUCUGUUCUUUUCAGUUUAAUCUCUGGUAAGUGAUUCCACUCAUUCCAACCCACCCUCC
rnacentral:snRNA from 1 species